CGCGAGCCCGACGCCGGCGCAGGUGCGCGUGCGCGAGCCCGACGCCGGCGCAAGCGCGCGCGCUCCUCGGGGACGCCUCCAACCGCGCCCGGACACCCGCAGCUGAGCGGGCCGGCGGAACAAGCAGGGCGCACGCGCGGGGGGCAGGGCUUCUAACCGCCGUCGCGGCGGCCUCACGAGGACGCGGUCCCGCCCCAACCGCUGCUCGGUAGCGCUGGGCGGUGGGCGGUGUGACCGCGGUGGUUCCGUCUGUAGGGGCGGCGAGAGUGCCUCGGGUUAAUUGAGCACUAUCCGGUUGCUUUCCAAAGGUGGUCUCGGGACACCCAGUUGCGCCUUCCACCACAGGACCUCUGGCCCUUACCAGGGUAACUGUGCAUUGGGGAAAAGGCAAUAAUCAGACCUUUCAGGGAUUACGGGACGUUGGCUCUGAACUGACAUUAGUUCCAGGAGACCCGAAAUGUCACUGUUGUGCACCAGUCAGAGUGGCCCUCCACAGGCCCUUAUGGAGGUGAGAUAUGGGUUCAGUGGCCCCCAAACCCAUCCUGUGGCUCUUCACCCGGUUCUGGAAUGCACAACUGGAAUGCACACUUAGCAGCUGGCAGAAUCUUCAUAUCCGUUCCCUGAUCUGUGGAGUACGGGCUCUUAUGGGGGGAAUAGCAGAGGGAAAGCCGCUGGAACUGCUUCUACCUAAGAAAAUGGUAAACCAAAGCAAUACUGCAUUCUUGCAAUUCCAGAGAUUAGUGCUGCCACCAAGGACUUGAAAGAGGCAGGGGUGGUGAUUCUCACUACAUUCCCAUUCCACUCUCCUCCAUGGCUUGUGCAGACGACAGAUGGAGCUUGGAGAAUGACCGUAGAUUAUUGCAAGCUUAACCAGGUGGUUGAAUGGUGUUCCCCCCAGAGAUAUGGCCAAGUCCUGCCCCCCCAGGACCUAUAGAUGUGCGAGAAGGUCAUGUGGACACAGAGGCGGAGUUUGGAAUGAUGGGACCACAAGCCAGAGAAUACCUGGGGCCCCCACAGGCUGGAAGAGACCAGGAAGCAUCCUCUGGCUUUGGCAGGAGCACGGCCCUGCUGACACCAUGAGAAGAUAAAUUCAUGGCCUAAAAGCCACCCAGUCUGGCGUGACUUGUUACAGCAGCCCCAGAAAACUAAUACCCCCACCAGGUACCCUUCAUCUAGAACCCUCCAUUCAACUUAUGCUCUAUUUGGUGGGGGGGGGGGGGAGGCGGGUAACUCUAUGUGUUACUACAAAUGCAUGUCCAUUUUUAGCUG